UACGUAGGGUGCAAGCGUUGUCCGGAAUUAUUGGGCGUAAAGAGCUCGUAGGCGGUUUGUCGCGUCUGCUGUGAAAUCUGGGGGCUCAACCCCCAGCCUGCAGUGGGUACGGGCAGACUAGAGUGCGGUAGGGGAGAUUGGAAUUCCUGGUGUAGCGGUGGAAUGCGCAGAUAUCAGGAGGAACACCGAUGGCGAAGGCAGAUCUCUGGGCCGUAACUGACGCUGAGGAGCGAAAGCAUGGGGAGCGAAC
rnacentral:rRNA from 1 species